GAGCACAACGUCGAAAGCAGCCGUUGGGAGCCCAGGAGGCGGGGCGCCUGUGGGAGCCGUGGAGGGAACUUUCCCAGUCCCCGAGGCGGAUCCGGUGUUGCAUCCUUGGAGCGAGCUGAGAGCUCGAGUACAGAACCUGCUAAGGCCAUCAAACCUAUUGAUCGGAAGUCAGUCCAUCAGAUUUGCUCUGGGCCGGUGGUACCGAGUCUAAGCACUGCGGUGAAGGAGUUAGUAGAAAACAGUCUGGAUGCUGGUGCCACUAAUAUUGUGCUGGGAUUACAGGCAUGAACCACCGCGCCUGGCCCCCGUUCUCCUUACUGGAUCUAAAGCUUAAGGACUAUGGAGUGGAUCUCAUUGAAGUUUCAGGCAAUGGAUGUGGGGUAGAAGAAGAAAACUUCGAAGGCUUAACUCUGAAACAUCACACAUCUAAGAUUCAAGAGUUUGCCGACCUACCUCAGGUUGAAACUUUUGGCUUUCGGGGGGAAGCUCUGAGCUCACUUUGUGCACUGAGUGAUGUCACCAUUUCUACCUGCCAUGUAUCGGCGAAGGUUGGGACUCGACUGGUGUUUGAUCACUAUGGGAAAAUCAUCCAGAAAACCCCCUACCCCCACCCCAGAGGGAUGACAGUCAGUGUGAAGCAGUUAUUUUCUACGCUACCUGUGCACCAUAAAGAAUUUCAAAGGAAUAUUAAGAAGGACUCCUAGAAGUACCCCACCCCACCCCUGCUCCUUGGAGGACAACGUGAUCACUGUAUUCAGCUCUGUCAAGAAUGGUCCAGGUUCUUCUAGAUGAUCUGCACAAAUGGCUCCUCUCCUCCUUCCUGAUGUCUGCCAUUAGCACUGGAAUAAAGUUCCUGCUGAAAAUCCACAUCUCCCCUGGGUCCGGUGUUCUGGAAGUGAGAGAGACAAUGUCACACCUCAAGGAGACAGCUCUCUAGACAGGAAGGUUAUUCACGUCCCAUGUCAAGUCUAGCUAGAGUUCAGAGCAAUUGAGAAGUGCGAUUUUAUCUCCUGCCUUUCAUUCUAUACCCUGCUUCUGAACCAUCGUGUUCAACUGUGAAACUCACGCUUUGGUGACCCUGACUCCAAAACUUAAUACACCCAAGGUCAGCCCCAGUGAUCUGCUUCAUAGCGAGGACUUUGGGUGGGUCUUCCCAGGGAGUAGGGCACCCUCAGAGAAUGUGGCUUUGGACUUCAUCACAGCUAGGGUCUUUUGUGUCACUUCAGAUCUAAACUUGUAACUGUGCUAGAUCUGUUUCUAAUGUGACAACAUCACAAACCACGAGUCCAGAAGCCUAAUCCAUAAUCCUACCUCCUCAUGACGAAGUCUCAUGCUCUGUGCUCAACAUGGUUAGCUGCACAAGAUGUAAACCAAAGCUUCACUGAACCCUCGACCCAAAUCGGUAACUCAAGUGCAUCAAUCAUAAAGAACCUCCCCGAACUCA
rnacentral:lncRNA from 1 species